GAUGAACGCUGGCGGCAUGCUUUACACAUGCAAGUCGGACGGUAAGUGUGUUUCCAGUGGCGGACGGGUGCGUAACGCGUAAGAACCUGCCCUUGGGAGGGGAACAACAGCUGGAAACGGCUGCUAAUACCCCGUAGGCUGAGGAGCGAAAGGAGGAAGGCGCCCAAGGAGGGGCUCGCGUUGGAUUAGCUAGUGGGUGAGGUAAUAGCUUACCAAGGCCGUGAUCAGUAGCUGGUCCGAGAGGAUGAUCAGCCACACUGGGACUGAGACAAGGCCCAGACUCCUACGGGAGGCAGCAGUGGGGAAUUUUCCGCAAUGGGCGAAAGCCUGACGGAGCAAUGCCGCGUGGAGGUAAAAGGCCUACGGGUCAUGAACUUCUUUUCCUGGAGAAGAAACAAUGACGGUAUCUGGGGAAUAAGCAUCGGCUAACUCUGUG
rnacentral:rRNA from 1 species